GUGAGAGAUUACGGGCCGGAGUGAGCUUGAUGUUGUCGAAAGUCAGUCAGAACGUUCCUCCUGACUCACCACUACUAGGACUUCGACGGGGGAAGACAACAGUGCUAAUCUGAGCAGAUUUCCUGUCCGUUGUGUUGGAACCGAGUGCUGCUUGGCGUGGAUGCUUCAAAUGCAUUCGAAUUCAAUCGGAAUCAAGCAACAAAGCGACCAGCGAAAAGAAAACAUCACAUCAUGUCUCAGUCAUCAGUCAAGAUGAUCCAACCUUCUUGUUGAGGAUCAUCACUGGUGAUAAGAGAAGAAACAGCAGGUUUCACAGUGGAAGAGACGCAGUUUCCAUAACCACGUAAUGUGCAUCAGGGUCGCUUUAGAGAGAUUCAGCGCUGAUCACAGGUGCUGCUUGACAUGUGCUUGACCGCACAAGGAGAUGACUUUGGGGAACAGGGAU
ensembl:lncRNA